rnacentral:lncRNA from 1 species
UCUGUAGAAAGAAUGUGGUAUCAUUGCUGGGCUAUUAAACUUAGUGACCCUGCAGUUCAACCACAGGCUGGUUUCACUUGGUGAAAUCACUGGGUGAAAUUCUGUGCUUUGUAGGCAAGCUGUCAGAGUCAACCCAAACACCACUGGUGUAUUAAGUCCCACUGGAUUUGCCUCUCUGUCCCAUCGCUCCCUUCCUAGCAUGGCUUCUCUGAUUCCAUGCCACAGAACAACACCUGCUCUCCCCACCUCUCAUAUCCCUGGGUCUUCAAACACUGAGGAGAAUACCAGUACGUCUCUUCAGAGAAACAGCCUAAAGGUAAAAGAGAUAUCUGAAGUUAAGAUCUACAAGACUUUUCAAUCAGAGGAGGUUUUCAGGAAUGGUGGACACUCACAGGCAGUAGAAAGAUAGGUGUCUAAGUCCAGGAAAUGUCCUUUUGGGUGGACCCUCCAGGACCAACAUUGCUA